rnacentral:tRNA from 1 species
GGGGACGUGGUGUAGUCUGGUUCAGCACACUGCCCUGUCACGGCAGAGAUCACGGGUUCAAAUCCCGCCGUCCCCG